UACGUAGGGAGCAAGCGUUGUCCGGAAUCAUUGGGCGUAAAGCGCGCGUAGGCGGCCCUGUAAGUCCGUUGUGAAAGUCAAAGGCUCAACCUUUGAAAGCCGAUGGAUACUGCAGGGCUGGAGUCCGGAAGAGGCGAGUGGAAUUCCUGGUGUAGCGGUGGAAUGCGCAGAUAUCAGGAGGAACACCAAUAGCGAAGGCAGCUCGCUGGGACGGUACUGACGCUAAGGGCGCGAAAGCGUGGGGAGCGAACAGG
rnacentral:rRNA from 1 species